rnacentral:rRNA from 1 species
GACGAACGCUGGCGGCGUGCUUAACACAUGCAAGUCGAACGGAAAGGCCCUGCUUUUGUGGGGUGCUCGACUGGCGAACGGGCGAGUAACACGUGAGUAACCUACCCUUCACUUUGGGAUAACUUCCGGAAACUGGGGCUAAUACCUGAUAGGAGCUCCUGCUGCAUGGUGGGGGUUGGAAAGUUUCGGCGGUUGGGGAUGGACUCGGGGCUUAUUAGCUUUUUGGUGGGGUAGUGGCUUACCAAGGCUUUGCCGGGUCGCCGGCCUGUGAGGGUGACCGGCCACAAUGGGACUGAGGUAGGGCCCAGACGCGAACGGGCGGCAACAGUGGGGAAUAUUGCAGAGUGGGCGGAAGCGUGAGGAAGCAACGCCGCGUGCGGGAUGACGGGCUUCGGGUUGUAAACCGCUUUCGCCUGUGACGAAGCGUGAGUGACGGUAAUGAGUAAAGAAGCACCGGCUAACUACGUG